UCUUCAGUAUAUAUAGAUCAAUCAAGAAGAAUAGAAGCCUCAAAUGGAAUUUUUCAAGUUUUUGAUUGUUUUCCUUCUCUUAAUUGUUCCAUUUUCAAUUGCAUCAAAUCCUCUUGGUGCAUCAACAAAUGAUGGAGGUAGGGAAUUUUGCUUUAAGAAAUGCACAGAUGAGUUUACACAGGAAGAUUGCAUGUUUGACUGCAAAGGUCGAGUGAAGCUAAUGCAUGCGUUAAAUCUGCGUAUUAAAAGAAAUUAUGUAUUUGAUUAAUGGUUGAAAAAAUUUUCUGACCGCCUUUGAUUGAAA